GCGCCGCCGCCACGCGCUGCCGAUCUUCAUCUCCGACUUCUCUCCUGUGCCGUCCCCACCGCUACCUUGUUCUCCUUCCCCUUCCCACCCAGCCCCAAUCUUCCCCGGCACCACCGUCAGCCUCCUCCAUGUCCAACCUCCCUCCAGCGGCCGUGUCCAUUUUGGAUCGGAUCUACACAGGAGACCUACUCCAACACGUAGCCAUGGGUGUCCGACCUGGACUCCACAUAGAAUUCGCUGGUAUAAGACGAAAGCCUCGAUUAGAAAUCCAACUAAAUUGCAUUACAAGUCUGCAAGUUUGGAACUGUCCAAUGUCGCCUCCGCCCAUUUUGCCGGAAGACCACCCAAUGUCGCCUCUGUCGACUUCGCCGGAAGACAAUCCGAUGUCCAACAAUGUUCCACAGUUCGCUGAAACUUUGUCGGCCGGUUCUCCACUUGAGAAAAUACAAGGUCAAGCUCGCCGAUGUGUUCCAUGGGAGCUGAGCAGGUAGCAAGCAGCACGGGUGGCAUCAUUGGCACGAGCGACACGCGUCUGCUAGCCACAUCGGUUCAUUGCUUUGCGGCUGGAAGUACAUUCACGGCCAGCGUUAGUGCAUGUGGCUACUUGCAGCCAUGCCGCCGUCUGCGCUUACUGCACAGCGGCGCUCUUCUUCCGCUGUCACGUGAUGCCGCUCCAGCUCUAAAUAACUCCUUCCUCUCCACUUCAAUAGAUGAGAUGUCUGAACCUGUGGUAACCUGCUCCUUUUGCCCUUCCAUGACGUGAGAUCAAAAUAUUGUUGAUUUCUCUGGUGACUGCAGUUCGGGUCAAGCCAAAGAGGGGCUAAUCUCUAACAAUAUUUAGCAAGAACUCGAUCCACUCAUCUGGUCUAACUUCCACCGCUGAAAUUCUGCAUCCACAUCUUUUGAAAGCCCUUGCUGAAUUUGUAUGAGUUUCUCUCCAUGAACAUAAUAUGUCGUCCGCCCAUGCUCCACACUUCGCCGGAACUCCGUCUGUCGGUUCUCCACUUGAGGUAUGUAUGAAGCUAUCCUUGGAAUUUCCGGAUAGUCGUCUACACUCCCAUGUUUUGUUUGCACCAGGUCAGGUCAUACUCCUUUAGUACGGGUGUUCUUUUACUUUUUUGCUGGGAGGCUUAGCGAUGUAAUAUGACGAUGUUCUUCAGUCAGCACUACUAUAGCAUGCUCCUCCCUUUACUUGUAUCUGUAGGGUGCCCAGUAGUUUGUUCUACUACUGAAAGUAUUUUCUUUAGUUGCAGAAAUGUAAGCUUGGGUACCAAUUUUACACCAAAUUUGUGUCGAACUAUCGAUAGUGAAUGUCUAAACUUGAAUGCUAGACCUACUUAUGGUUAAUAGAUCUUGUUGUUCUCAAGACUCAACUAUGGAUGUCGAAAUGUAGAUACUGGAUGUCUAAACUUGAGUGCUAGACCUACUGAUGGUUAAUAAAUCCUAUUGUUCUCAAGACAUAACUAUAGAUGAACAAUUUUGCAAACUUUGUCUGUUGGCAUAGACUCAAGCAAGCACCUCUUUGAGUUGUACUUGCCAGAUUUAGGAGUUAGUUAGUCCUCUUUGUUCCUAUUGAUGCACAUGAAUUUGGAUAUAUGAUUAUUGGUUUAUGUUUGAUCUAAGUAUACGUGAAUAGGUCGAGAAGGUGGAGCUACAAUUAAGCACCUGUUGUACCGGGUCGGUAUAUGACAUAUUCUCUAUUACCUGAGUCAACACCCACUGCAGAGCAUAGGGCUUGAACAUGGGUAGCAGGCUGGGUGCACGCCCACGCAUACACCUAUAGCAAACUCGAUGACCCAUUUCUGAACUAAUCAUAAUUCAUAAUGACAUGACCUCUUCGGAGCAUGCUAUUUGCAUGGUAUCUUGAACGAUGUUAUGAAAGAUAAAAUCAUAACUGUAAGAACUGAAGUUUGUUCAGUCUCUUUGUGCAACCAGUUAUGCCAUGGCUUUUCAUAAUUAGGUGACUGAAUAGAUUAAUCGUUAGGUAAAGAUAUACUGAUAUUUAUUUGCAAUGAUUUCAUCUUUUUUUUCACCUCCCUGUUCUUCUUGCUGGUGGUUUUUAUUUUAAUCAAGUAGUCCAAAAGUAUAUUGGUAAACAAUGUUGUGUUAUGUUGUGUUUGUAUAGCGGAUCUAAUUAACAAUUUGGGCUCUAGAAAAAAUGAUAAAAAUCAUCGUGUUCCAAUUCAAUUAGAGGCUUAUCUGAUACCUAUCAUAUUCUUCGUUUGUUAUUCAGCUUGUUGUUGUGUGUAUGUAGCAAAAUCCUAGAUGCUAUAGCUGAAGCAGCUUUUGUUCGAUCUUGCUCUUCUGUCCAUUUUCUUCAUUUUUAUUAUGACAACAACAUUGUAGUUUAAAUAUGGCUGAUGUGUACGCCAGAAAUAGGCGGAUCUGGAAAUGGUUAAUUAGAUUAGAAUGCAAAAUUUUGUCAUACCGUCACUAUGCUUGUGCUGAAGUUCAAUACAUAGGGAAUCAGCUGAGCUAUUAUUUGUCUAUCAUUAGUUUAUUUUUCUUCUUUCCAUUGGAUGAAGUGUAGAUUCUUUUCCUGGUCUUUUGAUGGUCUGCUAGAGUGUGUUUUGACAAUGCUUUAGGCCAUCAUGUUUUUUAAACCAUGGUUUUAAAUUCUUUGACGCGUUUGCCAUCAUGUAAUACAGUAGUUUCAUAAACCGAAGUUCCAGUAUUGUGGUAUUUUUGGAGUAUUUGAAAAAGAUCUCAACAUCUCUUUUUUCUAAACCAAAACCAGAAAGCUUUGGUAUUAGUAACUGAAGUAUUCACAGCGCAGGCAUUGGAAUACUGAUGUAUUAAAUUACUAUAGUUUCAAAAAAAUAUGUUGUAUCUAUUUGGUUAUGGCAAGUAUCAAUGUGAAUUUUUUAUUCUUGCAGUUGCUACAUUGGUAUUUUAAGUUAUUUUUAUUGCAGAAAUAAUAUUCAAUUUAGAGACACAGACAUAGCAGAGGCGACCAUGUUGUAUCCAAGGUGGCAUCCCCACAUCAUUCAAAUUCCUUUUCUCUAUGAUGCAUAGAUGAACUUAAUUUGGCAGGUGUAGAGUGGUCGGCAGAGGAUAUUACUAUUGUGGCAUGGGUUCACUUCAUAUAUACAAGUGCAGUGUUACCUUUAGAAAUUUCAUGGAAGUAUUUGGUGGUGUUUUCUCGCUCCUGAUUGUAGUCAAUCCUUACGAAGGAUGGUGUAUGGACCAAGCAGCCGUCACGGUCAACUCAACAAGAUUAUUUUUGGGAGUUUUAAUCAUUGCCUUGCGCAGGUGCGGUUAAAUGAUUACUCGCCUAAGGAUUGACCACAUCUGAACGCACAGAUGAUGUGGAUCUGUGGGGUCUUUAGCCAUGUUUAUUAGACUAGCAGUGUGUGAUUUUUUUCUCCCGUUGCAACGCACGGGCCCUUUUGCUAGUAGAAAAGACACAUAAAUAGAUUAUUGACUCUAGUGCAAGUGGGAGA